rnacentral:rRNA from 1 species
UUUAACUCGAAGCAACGCGCAGAACCUUACCAGCGUUUGACAUGGCAGGACGACUUCCAGAGAUGGAUUUCUUCCCUUCGGGGACCUGCACACAGGUGCUGCAUGGCUGUCGUCAGCUCGUGUCGUGAGAUGUUGGGUUAAGUCCCGCAACGAGCGCAACCCUCGCCUUUAGUUACCAUCAUUCAGUUGGGGACUCUAAAGGAACCGCCGGUGAUAAGCCGGAGGAAGGUGGGGAUGACGUCAAGUCCUCAUGGCCCUUACGCGCUGGGCUACACACGUGCUACAAUGGCGGUGACAGUGGGCAGCAAACUCGCGAGAGUGCGCUAAUCUCCAAAAGCCGUCUCAGUUCGGAUUGUUCUCUGCAACUCGAGAGCAUGAAGGCGGAAUCGCUAGUAAUCGCGGAUCAGCAUGCCG